rnacentral:lncRNA from 1 species
GUAUCAUCUAGGAUGGAGACACUAUCAAUGUAGGGGGGGGCUCAUGCGCCUUCAUUACCUUUUCAAGAAAAAUUAUAGUAUGAAAUAUAUGUACCCCACAUCCAUCCAACAAAACACGUAUAAAUUGUGCUUAAUUAAUAAAGGAUGACAAAGAAUGGAGAAAAAAAGAAAUCCAACAAAAACACGUACAAAUUGUACUUAAUAAAUAAAGGAAAACAAAGAAUGAAGAAAAAAAAAGAAAAGGAGAGGAUUCAA